rnacentral:rRNA from 1 species
UGGGGAAUUUUGGACAAUGGGCGAAAGCCUGAUCCAGCAAUGCCGCGUGUGUGAAGGAGGCCUUCGGGUUGUAAAGCACUUUUGUCCGGAAAGAAAUCCUUGGCUCUAAUACAGUCGGGGGAUGACGGUACCGGAAGAAUAAGCACCGGCUAACUACGUGCCAGCAGCCGCGGUAAUACGUAGGGUGCAAGCGUUAAUCGGAAUUACUGGGCGUAAAGCGUGCGCAGGCGGUUUGCUAAGACCGAUGUGAAAUCCCCGGGCUCAACCUGGGAACUGCAUUGGUGACUGGCAGGCUAGAGUAUGGCAGAGGGGGGUAGAAUUCCACGUGUAGCAGUGAAAUGCGUAGAGAUGUGGAGGAAUACCGAUGGCGAAGGCAGCCCCCUGGGCCAAUACUGACGCUCAUGCACGAAAGCGUGGGGAGCAAACAGGAUUAGAUACCCUGGUAGUCCACGCCCUAAACGAUGUCAACUAGUUGUUGGGGAUUCAUUUCCUUAGUAACGUAGCUAACGCGUGAAGUUGACCGCCUGGGGAGUACGGUCGCAAGAUUAAAACUCAAAUGAAUUGACGGGGUCAUAGCUGUUUCCU